CAAUAAGCGGAGGAAAAGAAACUAACAAGGAUUCCCCUAGUAACUGCGAGUGAAGCGGGAAAAGCUCAAAUUUAAAAUCUGGCGGUCUCUGGCUGUCCGAGUUGUAAUCUAGAGAAGUGUUAUCCGCGCUGGACCGUGUACAAGUCUCCUGGAAUGGAGCGUCAUAGAGGGUGAGAAUCCCGUCUUUGACACGGACUGCCAGGGCUUUGUGAUGCGCUCUCAAAGAGUCGAGUUGUUUGGGAAUGCAGCUCAAAAUGGGUGGUAAAUUCCAUCUAAAGCUAAAUAUUGGCGAGAGACCGAUAGCGAACAAGUACCGUGAGGGAAAGAUGAAAAGAACUUUGGAAAGAGAGUUAAACAGUACGUGAAAUUGCUGAAAGGGAAACGCUUGAAGUCAGUCGCGUUGGCCAGGGAUCAACCUUGCUUUUGCUGGGUGUACUUCCUGGUUGAUGGGUCAGCAUCAAUUUUGAUCAUUGGAAAAAGAUCAGGGGAAUGUGGCAUCCUUGGAUGUGUUAUAGCCCUUGGUUGUAUACAAUGGUUGGGAUUGAGGAACUCAGCACGCCGCAAGGCCGGGUUUUUACCACGUACGUGCUUAGGAUGCUGGCAUAAUGGCUUUAAUCGACCCGUCUUGAAACACGGACCAAGGAGUCUAACAUGCCUGCGAGUGUUUGGGUGGAAAACCCGAGCGCGUAAUGAAAGUGAAAGUUGAGAUCCCUGUCGUGGGGAGCAUCGACGCCCGGACCUGACCUUUUGUGACGGCUCCGCGGUAGAGCAUGUAUGUUGGGACCCGAAAGAUGGUGAACUAUGCCUGAAUAGGGUGAAGCCAGAGGAAACUCUGGUGGAGGCUCGUAGCGAUUCUGACGUGCAAAUCGAUCGUCAAAUUUGGGUAUAGGGGCGAAAGACUAAUCGAACCAUCUAGUAGCUGGUCU
rnacentral:rRNA from 1 species